rnacentral:rRNA from 1 species
UAAGGAAUAUUGGACAAUGGACGCGAGUCUGAUCCAGCCACGCCGCGUGAAGGAUGAAUGCCCUCUGGGUUGUAAACUUCUUUUAUAGGGGAAGAAAGAUACUUUUUUUAAGGUAGUUGACGGUACCCUAUGAAUAAGCACCGGCUAACUCCGUGCCAGCAGCCGCGGUAAUACGGAGGGUGCAAGCGUUAUCCGGAUUUACUGGGUUUAAAGGGUGCGUAGGCGGGCAUGUAAGUCAGUGGUGAAAUACCGGAGCUUAACUUCGGAACUGCCAUUGAUACUAUAUGUCUUGAAUAUUGUGGAGGUAAGCGGAAUAUGUCAUGUAGCGGUGAAAUGCAUAGAUAUGACAUAGAACACCGAUUGCGGAGGCAGCUUGCUACGCAAAUAUUGACGCUGAGGCACGAAAGCGUGGGGAUCAAACA